rnacentral:rRNA from 1 species
CCUACGGGUGGCAGCAGUGGGGGAUAUUGCACAAUGGGGGAAACCCUGAUGCAGCGACGCCGCGUGGGCGAAGAAGUAUUUCGGUAUGUAAAGCCCUAUCAGCAGGGAAGAAGAAAUGACGGUACCGGAGUAAGAAGCACCGGCUAAAUACGUGCCAGCAGCCGCGGUAAUACGUAUGGAGCAAGCGUUAUCCGGAUUGACUGGGGGGAAAGGGAGCGCAGGGGGCACGGCAAGCCUGAUGUGAAAGCCUGCGGGCAAACCGCGGGACUGCAUUGGGAAAUACCGGGCUUGAGUGCCGGAGAGGUAGGCGGAAUUCCUAGUGUAGCGGUGAACUGCGUAGAUAUUAGGAGGAACACCAGUGGCGAAGGCGGCCUACUGGACGGUGACUGACGCUGAGGCUCGAAAGCGUGGGGAGCAAACAGGAUUAGAUACCCGAGUAGUC